rnacentral:rRNA from 1 species
AGAAUCAACGCUGGCGGCGUGCCUAACACAUGCAAGUCGAACGAGAAAGUGGAGCAAUCCAUGAGUAAAGUGGCGCACGGUGAGUAACACGUGACUAACCUACCCUUGAGUGGGGAAUAACUGAGGGAAACCUUAGCUAAUACCGCAUAAUACCUACGGGUCAAAGGAGCAAUUCGCUUAAGGAGGGGGUCGCGGCAGAUUAGCUAGUUGGCGGGUAAUGGCCCACCAAGGCAGUGAUCUGUAUCCGG